AUUGAACGCUGGCGGCAUGCCUUACGCAUGCAAGUCGAACGGUAACAGGUUAAGCUGACGAGUGGCGAACGGGUGAGUAAUGUAUCGGAACGUGACCAGUCGUGGGGGAUAACUGCUCGAAAGAGCAGCUAAUACCGCAUACGACCUGAGGGUGAAAGCGGGGGAUGGCAAGACCUCGCGCGAUUGGAGCGGCGGAUAUCAGAUUAGGUAGUUGGUGGGGUAAAGGCCUACCAAGCCUACGAUCUGUAGCUGGUCUGAGAGGACGACCAGCCACACUGGGACUGAGACACGGCCCAGACUCCUACGGGAGGCAGCAGUGGGGAAUUUUGGACAAUGGACGCAAGUCUGAUCCAGCCAUGCCGCGUGCGGGAAGAAGGCCUUCGGGUUGUAAACCGCUUUUGUCAGGGAAGAAAAGGUUCUGGUUAAUACCUGGGACUCAUGACGGUACCUGAAGAAUAAGCACCGGCUAACUACGUGCCAGCCGCCGCCGUAAAAC
rnacentral:rRNA from 1 species